rnacentral:miRNA from 1 species
AACUGGCCCGUAAAGUCCCGCU